rnacentral:rRNA from 1 species
CAGGUCAGGCGGGAUUACCCGCUGAAUUUAAGCAUA